AUUGAAUCAAUAAAUUAAUCCGUGCAGCUAUCAACUUUAUCAAUGGAGAAUUAUGACUCGACAAGCUUAACUAGCAAGUAUGAUAAAAUAAUCUCGAUCAAUGACUACUACUUUUAUUAUUUUUAUUACUAAUAUUUAUUUUAGCAAUAAAAAAACCCCGCCAUAUAGGCGGGGUUUAAAAAUUCUUAG
rnacentral:misc_RNA from 1 species